AGUCGAGCGGACAGAAGGGAGCUUGCUCCCGGAUGUUAGCGGCGGACGGGUGAGUAACACGUGGGUAACCUGCCUGUAAGACUGGGAUAACUCCGGGAAACCGGAGCUAAUACCGGAUAGUUCCUUGAACCGCAUGGUUCAAGGAUGAAAGACGGUUUCGGCUGUCACUUACAGAUGGACCCGCGGCGCAUUAGCUAGUUGGUGAGGUAACGGCUCACCAAGGCGACGAUGCGUAGCCGACCUGAGAGGGUGAUCGGCCACACUGGGACUGAGACACGGCCCAGACUCCUACGGGAGGCAGCAGUAGGGAAUCUUCCGCAAUGGACGAAAGUCUGACGGAGCAACGCCGCGUGAGUGAUGAAGGUUUUCGGAUCGUAAAGCUCUGUUGUUAGGGAAGAACAAGUGCAAGAGUAACUGCUUGCACCUUGACGGUACCUAACCAGAAAGCCACGGCUAACUACGUGCCAGCAGCCGCGGUAAUACGUAGGUGGCAAGCGUUGUCCGGAAUUAUUGGGCGUAAAGGGCUCGCAGGCGGUUUCUUAAGUCUGAUGUGAAAGCCCCCGGCUCAACCGGGGAGGGUCAUUGGAAACUGGGAAACUUGAGUGCAGAAGAGGAGAGUGGAAUUCCACGUGUAGCGGUGAAAUGCGUAGAGAUGUGGAGGAACACCAGUGGCGAAGGCGACUCUCUGGUCUGUAACUGACGCUGAGGAGCGAAAGCGUGGGGAGCGAACAGGAUUAGAUACCCUGGUAGUC
rnacentral:rRNA from 1 species